rnacentral:rRNA from 1 species
GUCUACAGCCAUGCCACCCUGAACAAACCCCAUGUCUGAUUUUGCACGCUAAGCAGGGUCAGGCCUGGUUAGUACUUGGAUGGGAGAACACCUAAAAAGACAAGGUGCUAUAGACA